ACGCUCGACACCUACGGGGAGGCAGCAGUUGGGAAUAUUGGACAAUGGAGGAAACUCUGAUCCAGUGACGCCGCGUGAAGGAAGAAGGUCUUCGGAUUGUAAACUUAUUUUGUCAGGGAAGAAAAAAUGACUGUACCUGAAGAAAAAGCACCGGCUAACUACGUGCCAGCACGCCGACGGUAAUCUGAGGCGGGCGUGGGACGAAGGGC
rnacentral:rRNA from 1 species